UGCAGUCGAGCGGUAACAGGGGGUGCUUGCACCCCGCUGACGAGCGGCGGACGGGUGAGUAAUGCUUAGGAAUCUGCCCAGUAGUGGGGGAUAGCCCGGGGAAACCCGGAUUAAUACCGCAUACGUCCUACGGGAGAAAGCAGGGGAUCUUCGGACCUUGCGCUAUUGGAUGAGCCUAAGUCGGAUUAGCUAGUUGGUGGGGUAAAGGCCUACCAAGGCGACGAUCCGUAGCUGGUCUGAGAGGAUGAUCAGCCACAUCGGGACUGAGACACGGCCCGAACUCCUACGGGAGGCAGCAGUGGGGAAUAUUGGACAAUGGGGGCAACCCUGAUCCAGCCAUGCCGCGUGUGUGAAGAAGGCUUUCGGGUUGUAAAGCACUUUCAGCGAGGAGGAAGGCCUUAAAGUUAAUACCUUUGAGGAUUGACGUU
rnacentral:rRNA from 1 species